UACAGAGCCGUUUACCGGCAAUGGAAUCUAAAAUAAAAAAUUUCAAGAGUGAAGAAAUGCAUAGUCUCCAUUAUUUAAAUUUUAUUAGAGAUGGAGAUUCUUCUGUGUUUGCUAAUGUGAAAGAAAAAGUACAACAUGGGAACUAAAUAAAAAAAUUGACACCAGUGCACAAGAUUUUAGCUAAUACAAAGCUUCCACACUAUGGAUGAAAUAUUUUGAAACCAAGGUUACUGAAGAACAGUAGUUCUUAUACGUACAAUAAUUUAUUGCACAGUAGUGCAAUAAAUUAUUGUACGUAGAGCAAUGGUCAGCCUAGUUCCAUGGCUGAUGAUUUUCAGAUUCGGCCACCGCAUGUAUUUGGCAACUAUGAGAAGAGGAAAAAUUUACUACUCUUUCCAUUCGUAAUUUAUAAUAUAAUUUGUACAUAGUGUUACUUUUGUAAAAUUAGCCAGACAAAUGUGAUUUGUUAUCUAUAAUAAAAAUAUAAAACUAUAAACUGGUAAAUCAUUUGCCAUUGUAUUCAAAUUUAAUUAGAGUAUGUCAUGUUUUAAGUUUGAGAAAUCAUUUCAGAAUUGUGGCAUUUUACUUAAAAACAAAUAAAACCAAAAACUUUCUUCCAAA